UACGUAGGGGGCGAGCGUUGUCCGGAGUUACUGGGCGUAAAGGGCACGCAGGCGGUCAUGUCAGUUUGGGGUUACAGCUCCCGGCUCAACUGGGAGAGCGCCUCGAAGACGGCAUGACUUGAGAGCCAGAGAGGGACACAGAAUUCCGGGUGUAGUGGUGAAAUGCGUAGAUAUCCGGAGGAAUACCAAAGGCGAAGGCAGUGUCCUGGCUGGUAUCUGACGCUGAGGUGCGAAAGCUAGGGGAGCGAACGGG
rnacentral:rRNA from 1 species